CAGCAGUCGCGGUUAUACUGAGAGACGGAUUGAAAGAAAAUCGGUUAAAAAUAGUUAAAUAUUUAACUUAGAUAGAUUUAUAAGUCCAUACUGAUAAAAGGUGAAAUUAAUUUUUUAGUAUGUGGAAGUAUAAAAAAUGAAGUUUAAAUUGAAGCUAUUAAGAUAGAGGAAUGAACCAGGAUUAGAUACCCUGUUACACUUUAUUUAAAUGAUAAUUACCUGGGUACUAAGCAGCUAUUAUCUUGAAACUCAAAGGAUUUGGCGGUAACUUAGUCUAUUUAGAGGAACCUGUCCUGUAAUCGAUAGUCCACGCAAUAUCUUGCUUUAUCUUGUAGAAACCAGCUUGUAUACCGUCAUUAUUAGAUAACUUUAAAAAAAUUAUAGAGUUAUUGCAAUAGUUUAGCUAAUAAAUUAGAUCAAGGUGCAGCUUAUGGUAGAGUAGAGAUGGGUUACAAUAUAAUAGGCAUACACGGAGUAAUAAAUGAAUACUUAUUAUGAAGGUGGAUUUAAGAGUAAAAAGAUUUUAAUAAGAUUUUUUGACUUUAGCUCUAGGUUAUGUACACAUCGCCCGUCGCUCUCGUUAAUUAAAGCGAGAUAAGUCGUAACAAAGUAGGUGU
rnacentral:rRNA from 1 species